rnacentral:rRNA from 2 species
AAAUUGAAGAGUUUGAUCAUGGCUCAGAUUGAACGCUGGCGGCAGGCCUAACACAUGCAAGUCGAACGGUAACAGGAAGCAGCUUGCUGCUUCGCUGACGAGUGGCGGACGGGUGAGUAAUGUCUGGGAAACUGCCUGAUGGAGGGGGAUAACUACUGGAAACGGUAGCUAAUACCGCAUAAUGUCGCAAGACCAAAGAGGGGGACCUUCGGGCCUCUUGCCAUCGGAUGUGCCCAGAUGGGAUUAGCUUGUUGGUGGGGUAACGGCUCACCAAGGCGACGAUCCCUAGCUGGUCUGAGAGGAUGACCAGCCACACUGGAACUGAGACACGGUCCAGACUCCUACGGGAGGCAGCAGUGGGGAAUAUUGCACAAUGGGCGCAAGCCUGAUGCAGCCAUGCCGCGUGUAUGAAGAAGGCCUUCGGGUUGUAAAGUACUUUCAGCGGGGAGGAAGGG